CCAGUAAUAUGUUACGAAUGUAUAUUUGUUAAUGAAAGUUUUGUGUUUUUUAUUGAAAUUUUAUAUUUUUAUUUGCAAUUUUUUAUAUUCUAACAGACGAUCAUUAAAUAUGAUAGAUAAACAAGUAGAAAAGAAUAUAGUAAUACAUAAUACUCUCCUGAUAUGUAAUACUCUCCUUAAACGUAAAUCAAAUUGUUUAAACCGGAUAUGAUGAUUAAAUUUUGUAUCGGCAUGGUUUUAUCUGUCUACUUUGCUUUUCAAUUUUGUUGCCAGCUUCAACCUAAUUCUUGAUUUAGAACUAUGAUUUUGAACUAAAACGUUUCCGUGUUGAAUAAAAUACUAUUUAUUCUUAACUGUAUUUUUUUUGAGGCUUCAGUUAUCAAAUGUUGGUGGUAAUUUUAGUUUUGCCACUGUGAAAGCGUCGAUUGUUAAGUAGACAUAAAAAGUUUGAAGUAUGCACAAAGCCUGAAAGUGUCAAAUAUGGAACCUAAAAAAACCUGCCUUUGCCACUGACUGACUAAAGGUUUUUUAAGGAAAGAGCUUAAAUAAAUUAACAGAAAAAAAAUAUUAUAAGUUAUACAUUUUUAUACUAAAAUAGAAUAAAAAUAUAUAUUUGUAGUUUUUAUUGUCACAAAUAUUAAAUAUUUGUGACACAAAAUAUAGAUAUUGAUGUCUGCCUUCUUUAAUGUCAUUAAUGCUUUAUCUACUGUUUUCUUUUUGUGCAUGACCUAAUUUCUUUUCAUAUCCAUAUUUUUUUAGGUCUGUUUGUCAAGCGUCAAGUCAGGUUAUUUUGCUAUUGGUUCCAUGUAAUACAUCCUGCUUAAGCAGGUUGUACGCCAUCCAUACGACGUUUGGGCAUCUGUUUGUAAAAUAUUGCUGCAAAUCUUUUUGAGAGAGCCAUUACUAUGGAUAACCAUCUAAACCAUACAAGUGUGGAAACAUAGAUCAGAACAUACCUGGCGCGCAUUUGAUCCUGAGAAACAUUCUUUUUGGACCAAAUGCUGGCUGGAUUAAUGUGAAAUAAACUGAUAAGUUUAUUUAACUUAGCUGG